UACAGAGGUGGCAAGCGUUGUUCGGAAUUACUGGGCGUAAAGGGCGCGUAGGCGGCCUUCUAAGUCAGACGUGAAAUCCCCCGGCUUAACCUGGGAACUGCGUCUGAUACUGGAGGGCUUGAGUGCGGGAGAGGGAUGCAGAAUUCCAGGUGUAGCGGUGAAAUGCGUAGAUAUCUGGAGGAAUACCGGUGGCGAAGGCGGCAUCCUGGACCGGCAUUGACGCUGAUGAGCGAAAGCUAGGGGAGCAAACGGG
rnacentral:rRNA from 1 species